rnacentral:rRNA from 1 species
ACGAACGCUGGCGGCGUGCUUAACACAUGCAAGUCGAGCGGUAAGGCCUCUUCGGGGGUACACGAGCGGCGAACGGGUGAGUAACACGUGGGUGACCUGCCCUCAGCUCUGGGAUAAGCCUGGGCAACUGGGUCUAAUACCGGAUAUGACCUUUCCUCGCAUGGGGUUUGGUGGAAAGUUUUUUCGGCUGGGGAUGGGCCCGCGGCCUAUCAGCUUGUUGGUGGGGUGAUGGCCUACCAAGGCGACGACGGGUAGCCGGCCUGAGAGGGCGACCGGCCACACUGGGACUGAGACACGGCCCAGACUCCUACGGGAGGCAGCAGUGGGGAAUAUUGCGCAAUGGGCGGAAGCCUGACGCAGCGACGCCGCGUGGGGGAUGACGGCCUUCGGGUUGUAAACCUCUUUCGACCCCGACGAAUUUGGACGGUAGGGGUAGAAGAAGCACCGGCCAACUACGUG